rnacentral:rRNA from 1 species
CCUACGGGAGGCAGCAGUGAGGAAUAUUGGUCAAUGGGCUUACGCCUGAACCAGCCAAGUCGCGUGAGGGAUGACUGCCCUAUGGGUUGUAAACCUCUUUUGUCAGGGAGCAACACGGUCCACGCGUAGCCGUACUGAGAGUACCUGCAGAAAAAGCCUCGGCUAACUCCGUGCCAGCAGACGCGGUAAUACGGAGGAUGCGAGCGUUAUCCGGAUUUAUUGGGUUUAAAGGGUGCGUAGGCGGAAUGCCAAGUCAGCGGUAAAAGCGCGGGGCUCAACCUCGGUGCGCCGUUGAAACUGGCGUUCUUGAGUGGGAGAGAAGUAGGCGGAAUGCGUGGUGUAGCGGUGAAAUGCAUAGAUAUCACGCAGAACGCCGAUUGCGAAGGCAGCAUACCGGCGCCCAACUGACGCUGAAGCACGAAAGCGUGGGUAUCGAACAGGAUUAGAUACCCUGGUAGUC